rnacentral:rRNA from 1 species
ACGCUCGACACCUACGGGAGGCAGCAGUGGGGAAUACUGCACAAUGGGGGAAACCCUGAUGCAGCGACGCCGCGUGAGUGAAGAAGUAUUUCGGUAUGUAAAGCUCUAUCAGCAGGGAAGAAAAUGACGGUACCUGAGUAAGAAGCCCCGGCUAACUACGUGCCAGUAGCCGCGGUAAUCUGAGCGGGCUGGCAAGGC